UACAGAGGUCCCAAGCGUUACUGAGAAUCACUGGGUUUAAAGGGUGCGUAGGUGGCACGUUAAGUCAGUUGUGGAAAUCCCCGGGCUCAACCCGGGAACUGCUUCUGAUACUGGCGUGCUUGAGGCCAGUAGGGGUCACUAGAACUGACGGUGGAGCGGUGAAAUGCGUAGAUAUCGUCAGGAAUGCCGGUGGUGAAGACGGGUGACUGGGCUGGUUCUGACACUGAGGCACGAAAGCGUGGGGAGCGAACGGG
rnacentral:rRNA from 1 species